ACCUUGAUAGCUCAGUUUGUAGAGCAGACGGCUAUAGGAAGCUCCUAUGAAUUGCUUUGAUGCAAAGGUUGCAGGUUCAACUCCUGCUCAAAGCA